UUUACGGAGAGUUUGAUCCUGGCUCAGGACGAACGCUGGCGGCGUGCCUAACACAUGCAAGUCGAACGGAGAUAUUUUGAAGUUUACUUUAGGAUAUCUUAGUGGCGGACGGGUGAGUAACGCGUGGGUAACCUACCCAUAAGGCCGGGACAACUCCUGGAAACGGGGGCUAAUACCGGAUAAUCUUUCCGAGGGACAUCUCUUGGGAAGGAAAGGCGGCCUCUGAAGAUGCUGCC
rnacentral:ncRNA from 1 species